rnacentral:rRNA from 4 species
GUUGACCUCGGAUCGGGUAGGGAUACCCGCUGAACUUAAGCAUAUCA